rnacentral:tRNA from 2 species
GGAUCCUUAGCUCAGUCGGUUAGAGCAUCUGACUCAUAAUCAGAGGGUCGCUGGUUCGAGCCCGGCAGGAUCCA